rnacentral:rRNA from 1 species
GAAUUUAUAAUUCUCCAAAAUGCAAAUAUAAACCAACAUGGAUAGACCAUUGGUAGUUACCGAACCUAAAUUCAAUGCAAUAACAUCCACAAGAAAACUCUGCAGUACUCACUCGUUAACCUAACACCAGCGCAUUACAGGAAAGAUUUAAAAAAAGAGAAGGAAUUCGGCAAAUGACGGCCCCGCCUGUUUACCAAAAACAUCGCCUCUUGACUUAUAAUAAGAGGUCCAGCCUGCCCAGUGAAUUUUAAACGGCCGCGGUAUCCUAACCGCGCGAAGGUAGCAUAAUCACUUGUUCUUUAAAUGGGGACUUGUAUCAACGGCAUCACGAGGGUUUUACUGUCUCCUCUUUUUGAUCAGUGAAAUUGAUCUUCCCGUGAAGAAGCGGGAAUAUUUUUAUAAGACGAGAAGACCCCAUGGAGCUUUAAACCAAAUAACAACUUAACCACUUAUCCCAUAAUAAAUUUAAGCCCUGUUAUAAGGUUUUUGGUUGGGGUGACCGCGGAGUAAAGCACAUCCUCCACGACGGAAAGAACAGAAUCUUUAUUUAAGAACCACACUUCUAGAAAUUAGUAUACUAACGUUUACUGACCCGACAAUCGAUCAACGGACCAAGUU